AUUGAACGCUGGCGGCAGGCCUAACACAUGCAAGUCGAGCGGAUGAGUGGAGCUUGCUCCAUGAUUCAGCGGCGGACGGGUGAGUAAUGCCUAGGAAUCUGCCUGGUAGUGGGGGACAACGUUUCGAAAGGAACGCUAAUACCGCAUACGUCCUACGGGAGAAAGUGGGGGAUCUUCGGACCUCACGCUAUCAGAUGAGCCUAGGUCGGAUUAGCUAGUUGGUGAGGUAAAGGCGCACCAAGGCGACGAUCCGUAACUGGUCUGAGAGGAUGGUCAGUUACACUGGAACUGAGACACGGUCCAGACUCCUACGGGAGGCAGCAGUGGGGAAUAUUGGACAAUGGGCGAAAGCCUGAUCCAGCCAUGCCGCGUGUGUGAAGGAGGUCUUCGGAUUGUAAAGCACUUUAAGUUGGGAGGAAGGGCAGUAAGUUAAUACCUUGCUGUUUUGACGUUACCAACAGAAUAAGCACCGGCUAACUUCGUGCCAGCAGCCGCAGUAACAC
rnacentral:rRNA from 1 species